rnacentral:rRNA from 1 species
UACGUAGGGCGCAAGCGUUGUCCGGAAUUAUUGGGCGUAAAGAGCUCGUAGGCGGUCUGUUACGUCCGCUGUGAAAACCCAGGGCUUAACCCUGGGCUUGCAGUGGAUACGGGCAGACUAGAGGCAGGUAGGGGAGAAUGGAAUUCCCGGUGUAGCGGUGAAAUGCGCAGAUAUCGGGAGGAACACCGGUGGCGAAGGCGGUUCUCUGGGCCUGACCUGACGCUGAGGAGCGAAAGCGUGGGGAGCAAACAGG